GACGAACGCUGGCGGCGUGCUUAACACAUGCAAGUCGAACGAUGAAGCCUAGCUUGCUAGGUGGAUUAGUGGCGAACGGGUGAGUAAUACGUGAGUAACCUACUUUUAACUCUGGGAUAAGCCUGGGAAACUGGGUCUAAUACCGGAUACGACCAAUCUCCGCAUGGAGUGUUGGUGGAAAGCGUUAUGUAGUGGUUAUAGAUGGGCUCACGGCCUAUCAGCUUGUUGGUGAGGUAACGGCUCACCAAGGCGACGACGGGUAGCCGGCCUGAGAGGGUGACCGGCCACACUGGGACUGAGACACGGCCCAGACUCCUACGGGAGGCAGCAGUGGGGAAUAUUGCACAAUGGGCGCAGGCCUGAUGCAGCGACGCCGCGUGAGGGAUGACGGCCUUCGGGUUGUAAACCUCUGUUAGCAGGGAAGAAGAGAAAUUGACGGUACCUGCAGAGAAAGCGCCGGCUAACUACGUGCCAGCAGCCGCGGUAAUACGUAGGGCGCGAGCGUUGUCCGGAAUUAUUGGGCGUAAAGAGCUUGUAGGCGGUUUGUCGCGUCUGCUGUGAAAGGCCGGGGCUUAACCCCGUGUAUUGCAGUGGGUACGGGCAGACUAGAGUGCAGUAGGGGAGACUGGAAUUCCUGGUGUAGCGGUGGAAUGCGCAGAUAUCAGGAGGAACACCGAUGGCGAAGGCAGGUCUCUGGGCUGUAACUGACGCUGAGAAGCGAAAGCAUGGGGAGCGAACAGG
rnacentral:rRNA from 1 species